AUGGGCACGCCGCAGCGCCCGCGCCCGCGGCAGCUGGCGCGCACCAACGCCAUGCGGAACUCCUCCUACUCCGCGGACGCCGGCGCCGACGGGGACGACGACCUCGCGGCCUAUGGCCGCAUCCAGCUCAGCGUCGACCGCGCGGCCCGCGCCUCCCCUGGCGCCGGGGCCAGGUACGCGUCGCAGACCAGCUUCCGCAUCCACGGCGGCCGCGGCGGCGGGGAGGAGGUCGCCGAGCUCUUCCGCCAGCUCGGCCUCUCCGGCCCCGAGGACUUCGCCAUCCCGCCGGCCGUCUACGCCGCCGCCAACGCCGCCCGCCGCCGCGCCUCGCUCGAGGAGUCGGCCCCUGCGGCGUCACCGUCGGAGGUUCCUGAGAUUUCGGGACGCGACGUCAUCGUCGCCUCUAGGUUGCAGCCAGCCGGCGACGGGGAGGAAGCUGGGUUAGCCACCGAAUUGGUCCAAUCGGAGACUAUACAAGUUUCAGCAAAAGCAUAUCAACGACCAUGGGCUGAAUCCAAAGCCAUAUUGGUCGAAUCAGAGAGAGUGGAAACCUCUACACGAGAGGUCACUGCUGUGUCUGAGCCGGCGAAUGCAGGUGAAGGGAAGGGGAAUGGCAAAUUGGCCAAAGUGGAAACAUCACGAGAGGAGAGGACAAGAGAAGUGGUUGUGGAGGCCACAAGGGAGAAGGCUACUGGUGCCCUGGCCCUCGUUGUUGCAGAGUCCAAUUCAUGUGACAUUGAGCAUUUGGUCUCGCCAUCGCCGAAUAGGCGGUUUAGGAGAACCAUCACAUCCUGGAUCAAGGGAGAGCAUAUCGGGAGCGGAUCGUUCGGGUCAGUCUACGAGGCGAUCAGCGAUGAUGGGUUUUUCUUUGCUGUCAAGGAGGUGUCAUUACUUGACCAAGGAAUCAAUGCAAAACAGCGCAUCGUCCAGCUUGAGCAUGAGGUAUCCCUCUUGAGUCGUUUGGAGCAUGACAAUAUUGUUCAGUAUUAUGGAACAGACAAGGAAGAUGGAAAAUUGUAUAUUUUUCUUGAACUUGUGACCCAAGGCUCUUUGGCAGCUUUAUAUCAAAAAUAUUGUUUACAAGAUUCUCAAGUAUCAGCAUAUACAAGGCAGAUUUUGAAUGGUUUGAACUAUCUACAUCAGCGAAAUGUCCUGCACAGGGACAUUAAAUGUGCAAAUAUCCUAGUUGAUGCAAAUGGUUUGGUCAAGUUGGCAGAUUUUGGCCUUGCGAAGGAGAUGUCAAUUUUGAGCCAAGCAAGAUCUAGCAAGGGAACUGUCUUCUGGAUGGCCCCUGAGGUUGCUAAGGCUAAGCCACAUGGACCUCCAGCAGAUAUAUGGAGUCUUGGCUGCACAGUUUUGGAGAUGCUGACCGGCAAAGUUCCAUACCCUGAUAUGGAAUGGACACAUGCUUUGCUCAAAAUUGGUAGGGGAAUACCACCAAAAAUCCCCAAUACGUUAUCAGAAGAUGCACGGGAUUUCAUAGCAAAGUGUGUUCAAGCAAACCAAAAGGACCGGCCAUCUGCUGCUCAGCUGUUGGAGCACCCUUUUGUGAAGAGACCACUGCAACAUUAA
rnacentral:rRNA from 1 species